rnacentral:Y_RNA from 1 species
GGUUGGUCCGAGUGCAGUAUUUACAACUAAUUGAUCACCACCAGUUACAGAUUCCUUUGUUCCUUCUCCACUCCCACUGCUUCACUUGACCAGCCUUAA